rnacentral:rRNA from 1 species
AUUGAACGCUGGCGGCAGGCCUAACACAUGCAAGUCGAGCGAGCGGCGGACGGGUGAGUAAUGUAUGGGCAUCUUCCUGCUGGAGGGGGAUAACUACUGGACACGGUAGCCAAUUCCGCAUACCAUAACCUUAACCCAUAUGGGAUUAGCUUGUUGGUGCGGUAACGGCUCACCAAGGCGACGAUCCCUAGCUGGUCUGAGAGGAUGACCAGCCACACUGGGACUGAGACACGGUCCAGACUCCUACGGGAGGCAGCAGUGGGGAAUAUUGCACAAUGGGCGCAAGCCUGAUGCAGCCAUGCCGCGUGUAUGAAGAAGGCCUUCGGGUUGUAAAGUUCUUUAGGUAGGGAGGCGUUACCUACAGAAGAAGCACCGGCUAACUCCGUGCCAGCAGCCGCGGUAAUAC